UUUCCAAUCCCCAGCUCUACCUCCUUAUACAGAGAAAAGAGGUGUGCUGUUUUAGACCCUGAGCGUGUGCUAUAUUAGCACCGUGGUGUGCUAAACAGUGAUUCAGCACACUACAUGUGCUGUUUUGUAGGCAUAUAGCACAGCCUACGUGUUGUAUUGGUGUGCUUUUUCAUGGCUUGUAAUUUUGAUGUUCGAUUAAUGUGCUAAAUGGACUGUGCUAAAUGUAAUGGGUGUGCUGAAAGAGGUACACAUGCUAAUUCAGCACAGUGUGCUGUUUUCAGUACCAAAUAAGGGCAUGCAGUACAACAGAUGUGCAGCUGUAGCUGCAUAGCAACAAAUACUUUUUUUUAUUUGCUGUUCUUGCAAAGAAGAAAAUAAUUUGAGUUUAGACAUGGUUUGAGAGCUGUUUGACAAAACUGUGGAACUAGGAAGGACAAGCAAGUAAAAGGUUGAAUGGGGCUCAACAAAGUGGAUACCAAUUGAAGCUUAUAUUGCCCAAGUUUCAUAGCACAAUAAGAUGAUGUUGAAAGUGACACGUGUUGGAGAGAGCAUUAUACUGGACACCCUUGUAUGACCAGACCACUGUAAAGUAUCGACACAAUUGGAGGUGAUGCUGAGAAGUCAAAGGCAGUAUCUUACAAUUGCAGUGAACUGAGUGCAGACUUGCUAUGGUUAACUAACUAUGUUUAAAAAAACCUUUCACUUUUAUAUCCUCAUCGUUUGUUUAAUACAAUUUUAAUACUGUAUUGAUGUAUUGUUGUUUCUAAUGUUUGAAA